CUCCUCCUCUCGCCUCUUUCCCUCCCUCCUUCCUGCCUGGGGCCUGCCCUCCUUUCUCCGCCCCCCCUGGAACACUGCGCGGUUCGGGGCUCUGACCCACCCACCUCCUCCUUUUGUGCCAGCGCUUUUUCUGGCCAGAGAGCGCUGGAGACAAGCCCCAGCAGAGCGAAAUAUCCUGAAGUAGCUUUCUUUGCCCCAAUUUGCGCGCCCCCUCACCCGGAAUACACACACGGUAUUCAAUACAACCGCCUCGAACAUCCCAGACGUCUAGAAGGAUACCAUCUGUGCAGAAAGCUGCGUGAGUCACACGGAAACAGAAGGGGCAACCGAGGGGAUUCAGAGUGGCCCACUGCGGCCGGAUACUAUGGCCAUGUUCUCUGUUUUGAUCCUCACGACCAUGCCCCAAGUUCGCUAUUACCAUGUCCACUUUCUCCAAUAAGACACCGACGCUUAGAAACUUGCCCAGAUUCACCCCCGUUACUGGCAGAGCAGGGACUGGAACUUAGGUGUGUAGUUCUGCCGACGUCAAAGUCCAUACUACAGAUUUUUUGUUAGUUUGUUUCUCUUUUGCAAAGGAAUAAAUCAAGGACUGGACCGGGUGCGUGCCUGCUCUGCUGCGGUUUAGGAUGGGGCUUGAGGUUCUCCUUCCAGGAUCAGCUGAUGGGAGAGCACAAGGCACAGAAAGUUCUCUGUCUCACCCACAGCCAUGGGGAUCCAGCUGUAGGUUCCUGCAGCCAGAUUUCCUCAUUUCCUGGGUUGUUCUCAACCACCCCAAAGAUACCACGACCAGACUGGAGCCUCUUCCCUGUGGCUUGGCAUCGCUGGAUCCUGGCAUCAGGACAGGGUUUCUAGGCUGCCCGCAGGACGGAUCUGGUUUCUUUGAGGCAUUUGAGGUCUUAUUCUGAAUUUGAAUUUGUUUAUCCAGAAGGAGUGCUGUUUCCUGGCUGGAGUGCAGUGGCAUGAUCAUAGCUCAUUGCAGCCUCAAACACCUGUGCUCAAGCAAUUCUCCUGCCUCAGCUUCCUGAGUAGCUAGGACUACAAGCAUGUGCCACCAUGGCCAGCUAAGUGUUUUUUGUAGAUAUGGGGGUCCCAUAAAUAUGUACAUUUACAAUGUGUCCAUUAAAAAAAUAAACAAAAAUAAAAGACUUGAAGAAACAUCUCUA